GCGGAAGUGGCUCAGUUGGUAGAGCAUCACCUUGCCAAGGUGAGGGUCGCGGGUUCGAGUCCCGUCUUCCGCUCUA
rnacentral:tRNA from 2 species